ACUCCCGCGAUGCCUCCGCCCACCACCACGAACCGACUCCGCGCAACGCCGGGGGCAGCCGCCAUUUCCCCGCCUGCUCCCGAGCGCGCCGGCGACUGAAGGCCUCCCCCCUCCCAUCAGUCUUGGACACAGUACUAAAAGUACAGUUUAGACCAUGGUGUGAAGACGAACAGCGAGCUGGUGUUUCUGAGAGGCCCCUCUCCCUGCCUGCAGCCCUCCCUUCGCACCGUGUGACCCCACGGAGUUACCCGGGGGCUCUGUCGCUGUUCGCAAAGGACACAGCCGGCAGUGCCCUGCGAGGGCUCGGUGGCGGUGAGUCAGUCCUCGGUUCUCUCUAAAGUCAUCGGAGCAAGUGACUUUGCUGUUCUCUUUCUUCGUUUUUCAGACUAGGAUGAAAAGCGUGGUACUGUAACAGGAGGAGUGUGUCAAAGUAAGGGAAAUAAACUGACGUGAUAAACUGCCCAGCAAUGCUUAUAGUUCGAUGUGAGCUGCUCAAAAUGAGUUGAAGCUUUUGCAGUCUGGUUUACCUUAGUUUUCAGCAUAUUAGUAAGUAUGAUUUUCACUGUAAAACUGACCUUCAGUGAUUUUUUUUUCCUCUUGGAGGAAGGGAUAAGCUAUGAAAGAUAAAACUACAAAUUGCAUGCACCACAGAAAAUUACGCUAUUUUAUGGCCGAUGCCUUUUCAGACAUUCCUGUUGGUAUCAGGACAUCAGUCACAGUCUUCAAAACAGUCACUUCCUCGUGGCAGUUAGUUAUAAAUACUUUAAUUUUGUCUUUUUUUUAAGAAGUAACUUUUUUUCCUACCAUUGAAGGUAAUUUCACAAUCCAGACAAUUGCUGGCCAUUUUGGUCAGAAACUAAAUUCUGUUCUCUGAACACAUCCCAUUCCACUGUAAAUUACCUGAGUACAUGACCUGACCUAAACAGUGCAAGAAAUUGGGUAGACUUGCGUCAUCAAGUAC